AGUUUGAAGACUAAAAGGACUUCUGGAAGAGAGUUAUUACACCCAAAGAUUGCAUACGAUGUACAUCAUCUUCAGAAAGGCCUCUCUUACUGUUCUUAACAUAAUACUGAGGUAUUUGUUGAUUUGCAAAUGUAUUAUUAUUAUUCAUCAACGAAAAUUAACUCUUGGAGACAAAAACAAUUUUAAAACUAUAGACUGAUUACCAAGUAUUGUGGCUUCAUGAGACUAUAGAUGGAAUCUCACUAUCAAACAACAUUAACUCAUACAAUAAGAAUGCUUUUUUAAAAUCCAGAAUAAGCUUAUUCUUUAUAGAAAAUACAAAGUGAGGGAGUUUGAUACAAUAUAGUAGAAAUGCAUUUGAAUAUCCUGUGAAUUUGAAGGCAAAUGCUAGUUAUGGGAAGAGAUGAGGUGAUGAAAUAAUUAAUAGAUUAUAAGAAAUGUAAAGAAUGAGGAUGUAAAAUAUUUUGUAACUAGCUGAUAUAGAUAGCUAUUUAUCACAUCUCAACAAUGAAGAAAUCCAGAGUGUCUAGUACAAGCACAACAUCCUGGGAUCUCUUCAGUUCAUAUUGCAUUCAGACUUGAGUAUACACAAAUAAAUUUUAGGAUUUAAGUGCCUGUGAUGUGAUCAUAGCCAUAAUGAUAUAUAUGGAGAAUCUAAGCUGGUCAGGAUAGAUAAGAUGAACAUAGAGUAAAAUGUGGCAUUUAGAUAAAAGCACUAUCUUAAUUGCAGAGACAAGGAAAAUAUUAUUCUGAGCUUUGAAUUAAGAUUUCUCUUCCUAAUAAUAUUUUAAUAGGAUAUCUAAAUGGUCCAAAUAUUCAAAUCUCGCAAAUUCCAAAUAUACCUUCAGAUAUAAAAUGAAAUAAUCACAAAGUACGAGAACUAUUUAGUGCAAUAAAUUAAUUAUCUAUUUAUUCUAAAUCCACUGCAUAGAUUUCAUAAUGAAAAAUACUUAAAAACUAAAUUGCUGCAUUGUGGUUAUAAUAGUACAUUAUUCUUUAAUCUCUCCCUGUGUCUGAUGCCAAUUACCAAUUCACAGAGACUCUGUAGCAAUAUGGAACGUAUUUCUCACUAUAAGGCAUGAAAAUAUUACAAGAGAUAAUAGAAUUUGAUCCUUUUAUUUUAUUGGAUGUAUAUGUAUUUGUGAAGUUACCACUCAUUAUCCAUGGAACUAUUGAAGGAAAUAUUGGUAAAUUAUGUUUUAGUUUAAUAAAAUUAUGUUUUAGUUUAAUAUUCAUUCAUAUUAUAUCACCUGUUAUAUUUAUACCAACUUCGGAUCUUUCGGGUUUUAUAAUGAUAGGCUUUCUGUGAACAUCUGUGUAAGAAAAUGCAAUAUGCUAGUUCCAACAUCUCUUGAACAAAUAUUCCAGCUGUAUAAUUUGAAUUUGUGCCGAAAUCUGAAUCUUUGCCAUUUUUUUCUUGUUUUGCACACUGCCCUAUAAUUCUGCUUAGAUUUCAUUCUGAACACUGAGAUUAUUAAGUCACAGUUAUCACUCAUAUUCCAAUGGACAGGCAAGCCCCACCCUUAGGAAACAUUUGCUUUUGGGCACCUAAGUCCACAGGGCAGUGAUAAUUCAGCUCCUUUUUGCUGAUUGGCAUCCAUAUCUCAUACUAUCAGACAUCAGUCAUACUCUGAGUCAGAUUUCCCUAUAAAGAGCCUUUUAUCUUGUUGAUAUCACAACCUAUGCACACUGAGACUCCUAGAUUGGCAGGGCUGAAGUUGCAGGAUAGUUCAGCUGAAGUCUAACAGGAGAAAAAAAAAUAGGAUGCUGAGUCUGUGCUUAAUUUUCAAUAAAAGCAUAAUGUAGAGGAAAAUGGGGGUUAUGGAAAGACAAAACAAUGGCUGAAAAAAUGGUCAGUAGAACUUACUCAUCUAACGUUAGUGUCAAUGAAAGAAAAUCUCAGUUAAAAACACUCUUCUUUUGGGCCUCCCAAUUUGUGUUGUUGGUCUCUAGCUCCUUGAAUUCCUAGUCAAUUUGUCCAAUUUUGCCAGACCAGGGAAGGAAAUUUAAUGGAAAUGUAAAUAAGUCUGCCAAAGAAAAUAUUAUAAAGAAAAUAAGAACUAUUAGGAAGGUAAUGCCAUUCUUUCUCUUUUUCAUUAUCAUUUCCUCUAAUCUGGUAGCUGGAAAUUCCCCCUUUAAUUAGCACCCACUGAUGGCUUUAUCUAUCAUUAAUCUUCUGGUCUCCUUCAAAAGCUAUCUUCAAUCUUGGCCCAAGCAACUUCCCUUGAGCCAGAUACUUCCAUAUGCUGAAUAUGCAGAAGAUUGUAAAAAUCUUACUUAUAUGUUUCUUGAACCACCUGACAAAUAUUGUGUGCACUAUCUUGAGCUCCAGAAGGAAAGGUGAGAUAUAAAUCUGACAAAAUCAUCAUCAUCUUCAUCAUUGUAAUGUUUUAUUCAUAACUUAUUUGGGCCUGUUCAGUCCUUUAGUAUAUUGAUGAUGUUGCUAUUGUUAAUCUGAUGAAUAUAACUUUAUUGUUAUUUGCUCUGAACUUUAUUAGUUAUUUCUAUAGGAAAAUCUUGUUGGAUUCCAUCAAAGGCUAUGUUGGGUUUAAUGUCCUGAAUCAUUUGGCACACGUAAGAUUCCACAAAUGAAACAAUAGUUGGCCAGAUGGCUCAUACUAAUUAGUUCUUUCCCUUUAUCAAUCUGCCCUCCUUUGUUCAUCUUCUGCCUCCAUAUCACAAUCAUCCUAACAUUACAACCCUAUUUAUUUAUUUACUCACUCUCAGAAUUCUGAGUAAGAUGUACCCUGUCUUAACUUGGCACUCUUCAGAGGUAUUGGAUCAGAGCUCCUAUCAUCCCCGUUCCCAAUUAAGUUGGAGAGACCUAAGGAUAUUGAUGUCAAGUAUUAUCUGAACAGAACAACAGACAACCAAAGGUCUAAGUGGCAGUUGUGAAAUGUAGGCUGAAACAUCCUGUUCCACUUCUCAGAAAGAUUCAAAUCAAUCUUACACUGCAGAUUUUUAUUCCAAGACGAUGAAGAAGGCAAUCUCUGGAUCCAGCUUUUCCAGCAUUACAGGAUGUUUGGAGUAGCUUAGGAACACAAUUCUACCAAAGCCAGUUACUCAUACACACACAACGCUCAUCUAGUACAGCUUUCCCAAUUCACCAGGCAUUCACUUUAUUCAUGGUCUCCCCAUUUAUAAACAAAGGCUUUUCUGAACAAAAUCAUGGAAAAAAUCUUCCAGAACCUUGCUCUGUUACUCUAUCAAGAAUUCUACAAAAUCUUUUCAGUAAUAUUUUCAGUUUUAUCCAGUUUUACUGCAUGUUUGUUAAGAUUCUAUCAUAGGAGGAAGUGAUUUUCACCCUGAACCAAAUGUAUUUAUCUUCCCCAAGCAUAAAAAUAACAGUAUAUGUGGAAAUAUAACUAUUGUAGCCUGUUGAAGCCAAGUGGUGCAUUAGUGGGUUAACUAUAUCCAAAACUCAUGUCUAUACUAGAUUUAAUGAGUCAUAGCUAGCUUCCAGCAUUUGAAAUAAAAUGCUUUUAUAUUGUCA